CAGCCGUAAACAAUGUGCGUUAGGUGUGUCGGUAACCACGUGUUACUGAUGCGCCGAAGAGAAAUCGUGAAACGCACCACCUGGGAAGUACGGUCGCAAGGCUGAAACUUAAAGGAAUUGGCGGGGGAGCACCACAACAGGUGGAGCCUGCGGUUUAAUUGGAUUCAACGCCGGACAUCUCACCGGAUAAGACAGCUGAAUGAUUGUCAAUCUGAAGGUUUACAUGACUAAGCUGAGAGGAGGUGCAUGGCGGUCAGUGAC
rnacentral:rRNA from 1 species